UAUAGAGAGAAAGCAUUCCAGCCUUACUUUGGAAAUCUGAAGGAGCAGAAAAAUAAUCAACGGUUACACGUGAUAGCAUAGCCUGCAGCAUCCCUUGGAUCCUGGCUUCCUCCCGUCCUGCUCUGAAAAACACGCAUUUGCCCUUCAGCUCCUCAGAAGGUGAUCCAGCUGCUUGGGUCCAGGGUAAACACUGAGUGUGGUUCCCUGGAUGGCUUAACUUACCUUCCCAAAUCAAUGUGGAUAAAAGUGCAGUGGAGUCAGGGAUGGCCAGGGCUGGGGCUGCCUUGCUUCCACCCCCACGGGGAACCACCAGCGCUGUGUCCUGAAACCAGGCAGGGCUCUCUGUGCUCUGCACGGCCUUUCCAAACUGCCCUGUAAGUCUUGGCCUCCAGCAAUAUGCACACUUGCUGGGAUGGUACACACCAUGAAUCAUAUGCUAUAAAAUGCAUAUUUUUUGCUAUAAAACCGCUGCUUUGGUGAGCUGGAGCACAACUCCCAUAUUAUGUUAGAUAUUCUGAACAAAAUUAAUGAACAUUAAUAGUUACACCUACAAAGCCAAGUUCUUUGUAGAGUGGGUAUGGCCAGUCUACUCCAGAAGGGGCACAGCCAUACACAAGACUUCUUCUUAUGCCCAGUAAUGCUUAUUAAAGCGGAUUAAUUAAUUUAGCAUCAUGGACAUAGCCAUAAAGUCUUGGGACCUGCUCUUUCACUUGGCUUCAGAUGUUUCAUUCAGCAGGCGGGCAGACCGCAGUCCCCCUGUCCUGCGUGAGCAGUCAGCUGAGACACACUGAGAUCCUUGUCACUGUAAGCAUCUGGCAGGAGGAGAUAAAACUCCAGCUGCUCCUCUCUGGUGCCUGCAGAAACAUACCUCCCUGCAGCACGAGGGAACGCUGCAGAUGAAGAUACAUGGCCCAGGCUGCACAAGACAAGGACAGAAAGUACAAUUCCGAUUUAAAUGCUUCUUAGGAACUCUGUUCUGCAUUUGCUCAACAGGCAGACUCCUUCAGCUGUACUUGUGAGUGAUGUCCCAUCUCCCUUGAAGUCCAGGGCAAACUACAUGCUGAGGUCAAGAAAUCACAUCAUACAGGAUUUAAAACAGUCAUCUGCAGAACUGUUGAGAAAUAUAUGUCUGAAACCUUUUAACUUGAUAUAGAAAAGUAUCUAUGAUAAAUAUAUUCCUUUACCUUCAUGUAAACUGCUCUUCUGAUUGAAAUCACUCUGAUUUGUUUCAGUGACCUCACACACACAUAAACAGACUUAAACACCUUUUCUUUCAAAAGCACCAUGAAUCUAGACUAGCACACUGUAUAUGCAUUCCUACGUGGUUCAGCUUAUGUGGGCCAUACAUAAGACUUGUGUCUUAAAACAGGCUUCAACUAAAACAUUACUGACUUCAUCAAAUUUCCUGUGGAAUGACAUGAUUCUCCAAUUAUAAAACUUCAGGUCUCUGGUUAGGACUGGAUUAAUACCCCAUGUGACUGACGAACCCUGACUGUCU
rnacentral:lncRNA from 1 species